AGUGAACGCUGGCGGUAGGCCUAACACAUGCAAGUCGAACGGCAGCACAGUAAGAGCUUGCUCUUACGGGUGGCGAGUGGCGGACGGGUGAGGAAUACAUCGGAAUCUACUUUUUCGUGGGGGAUAACGUAGGGAAACUUACGCUAAUACCGCAUACGACCUACGGGUGAAAGCAGUGGAUCUUCGGACCUUGCGCGAUUGAAUGAGCCGAUGUCGGAUUAGCUAGUUGGCGGGGUAAAGGCCCACCAAGGCGACGAUCCGUAGCUGGUCUGAGAGGAUGAUCAGCCACACUGGAACUGAGAAACGGUCCAGACUCCUACGGGAGGCAGCAGUGGGGAAUAUUGGACAAUGGGCGCAAGCCUGAUCCAGCCAUACCGCGUGGGUGAAGAAGGCCUUCGGGUUGUAAAGCCCUUUUGUUGGGAAAGAAAAGCAGCAGGUUAAUACCCCGCUGUUCUGACGGUACCCAAAGAAUAAGCACCGGCUAACUUCGUG
rnacentral:rRNA from 1 species